CGAACCCCGCUCGGAAAUACCCCCGAGAGCCACUUACCGCGGCAGCCCGCGGUCCCUGUGCGGGCGGCUGCGGCCGGCGGCAGCAGAAGUAGGGAGGGCGGCUCUCUGCCGCCCGCCCUCCGCCUGCAGCAGCCAGCCCGGCUCCCCCGAGCUCCGCCUCGAACACCGCGGGCACCUCCCCGCCCUGCCCUGCCCUGCCCUGCCCGGGGCCGCCGGUGCGGCCUGGCCCGCGGGGAGGGGCCCGGCGCGGCCUCCUCAUCCCCGGCCUCGCGUGACGGGGGUCGCCGCCCAUGGCGGCCCCUCCCCGGGGCUGCGCGGGAGGCCGCGCCGGAGGCCUCGGGCCCACGCGUGGGGCCCGGCGCUGCCACCCGCGCAGCUCCUCGUGGUCGGCAGCUGCCGGGGUGUCGCUUAAAGGCAGUAAACAACUGCAGGGGUUGGAUUUCACGGGUUUUGCAAAGUCAGUGAUAUUCAGGCCACCGGUGAUGGGAGCCGUGUUUAUCCCAGGCACAUAAGUGCUCUUAAAAGGGAGUAAGAUCUCAAGUGGCAGCUGGAAUUUUUAGAUGUUCAGGCUUAGAAGCCCUCAGCUGCAGAGAAAGGAAAGUGUCUUUGUGAGGAGCAAGGGGUGCUGAUGAUCGCAGGAGAGCUGAGACGGAGGGACAGGAACAGAUGCAGAAUUUCUCUGCCGAGAUUUUUUUCCGGUGGGAUCCACUGGUAGGUCCUCCCGUUGGAAAAUAAAAGUACUUAGUCAUGGCUGUGGUUAAACAUUGAGAUUGUUCCCAUCUCGGGCUGCGGGUGUCAGGUGUCAGUCGAAGUACAACCCUGUGGCUUCCCAUGGGAUGCUCAGUUUGCCAAUGAACCAGGAAGUGUUGCUGGUGUUUAAUCGUUUCCCCGAGAUGCAACAGAUAAAUCCAUCCACUGUGUGUCUGAGAAUGAGCAAGGGGCUCCUUUUUCUAUUAAAACUGCAGAAUGUGUUAUCAUCGUAAUCAUGUCUGAUUGUUUGCUGUUCCAUCAAGAUCCCACAUCAGGGCUGAGCCACAGAAACAAAUGCAAAAAUUGCAGUUUUAAAAGAAUAAGGUCACGGGGCACGUUCUGUGUGGCAGAACAAACACCAUCAUUAAUUGGCCUCUCCCUGCAAUGGCAGCACAGGCAGGGAACGGAAGGAAGGGGUGUGGAGUAUCUCUGUUUUUUGGGGCAAAGAGCCGAGCUGGGUCUGAUAGAAAACGUGAAUUUCCUUGGUGAAAAAGAAAGACAAUAGCUUUUAGAAAGCAGGGCUGCUUGGACUAGUCAAGAGUAGUUAUUUUAUCUUUAAACGUUUAAAGAUCUUGGUUGUGGCAGGAAAUAUAUAUAUAAAAAAUCUAUUAAAUUUAUUUCCUCUACAUGUGCCAGAGUGAGAGAUUAUAUUCAGCAAAUGGACUGCAAAAGGCUCUUUGGAAUUUGUGCUGUAUUGUUUUUUAUUCUGAGACAAUGACAGACCAAAACGAGUCCUGGUGAAUAUACACAUCUGCUGUUUAUCCAGGUGGAUAUUUUUAAAUGCCCGGCUUAUUCCGUGACCUGUUAAAAUCAAGUUGAUGUGCGUGUGCUCCACUCAGCGGAGAACUCGCCGGAGAUGGAGCGAUUCCUCUGCGCUCUGGAAGAAGAGACAAGAGCACGCUCUGGAAGCCUUUAUGAGGAGGCUUUUAGAAGCCAUUUUGAAAAGCCAGUCGUUAUCCUUUGGUGUUUUGGAAGUCUGGACUGGACCUCCCAGGUGAUAUUAGGAUUGACACCACACCCAUUUUAUGGCGGGCGGCUGCACAGCCUCCAUCCCGCCGCGUGACACUGGGAACACAUGUCCCUGUCGGCAGGGAGGAGGGAAUGAGCCAUAUCCACUGGUCACACCCCAGCUGUACCAGCUGGACUGGGGUGUGCGAGGCUGUGGUGCCCUGCAGGUGCCCUGGAGCUGCAGCAUCCUCCUUGGAGGCACACACACUGGAGCACCUCCAGGUGCUGGUGGUGACAGAGGAAGCACAGGAAGACACAGUGUUGAGCCUCGGCCAGAAGCAUCAACAUCAGAGAUCAUGGGGAUUCUUAAUCAACUGAACUGAUCCUAUGAAUUUUUCACCAGUUCUGAGGCUCUGGACCACCCUAUCCAAUACUACAGGUCUCAGUUCUCUCCUCCGUGCAUCACUCUCCUACUCACAGUGAGUUUUAAGGGAAGCCAAGUGUGACCCUGGGUCACCCAGCUUGGGAAAGGGUUUGCAGAGCAUGUUCUAGAGUGACAUUUGGUCCCCAGGAAGGCCUGUGAGUUGCCAAACUCCUCCUGGGUGAUGGAGUUCCCUGCACUACGUCAGCCAACACCCCCAGAUGUUCUGAGCAGAUGCAAAACAUGCUCUAAUGGACAUGAGAAACUGUUCUCUGAGUUACCAACUGCGAGUGCAAGCAUGGGUUUCACUUCUGCUCUGGGAACAAGUGGGACUUGCCAGUAGUGCAAAGCGUGUCACUGUGGUGACCCUCUGUGCGAUAAUUCUCUAAGGAGUGGCAGUUCCAUGGAAACACCGUGUUCUGCUCUGCCCUGAGCUGCCCCAGAGAGCUGAGGGCACCUGGGGACAUGGCUCAGUGGUGGCCUUGGCGGCGCCGUGAGUGAACCUUUGGACUGGGUGAUAUCAGAGGGCUUUUCCAACCUAACCCAUCCUGUGAUUCCGUGAUUCCAUGACUCUCUCUGAGGACACGCUGCUGUUUCCCACGUGGCUGUGCACAGAUGUUGCCAGGUGUCCCCUGCCAGCCGGGCCCUGGCACCUCAGCUCACCAGGAAUGAGAGGUGACAGAAUAAAAGUAGAGGGAAACUAGUUGGUCAGUGCUUUCUGUUUACGUCCUCUUGGCUAACUGCUAGACACAGUAAAUAGGGAAUUAGGGGCUUCUCAAUAUGUAUAUUUUUUUAUGUAAGUGCUUGGGGAUUUCUGGUCCUGGGCUUGUCUGGGAACACAGUUUUUCUAGGCUGACUGAUGCAGUCAUGAGCAAUAACCUAAAUUACAGUUUUUGCUUGAAGUUUUUAUGAUGUCACCUUCUGCUGGAGGAAGUUAAGAAGGGAAGGGAACUGUGACGUAUGGUUACAUUGUGGUGUUCAUGUGUGCCCACACAGGAAAUUGGAACAGCACCUGUAGUGCCAGGUUGCUGUUGGCUGAAGAAGAAAACACCUGCUUCCUCCUUUUCCAGAGGUGGUUGGUGGUCGGUGUUCCUCCUACCUGGGCCGUGUCCUCAAGCACAACUGUUCUUUUUGUACGUAAAUCUUAAUGUUCCCUUGACGUGAAACACUCGGUGCUGCUGUUCCUUGAACACUCCCCCUGACUUAUUCAAGGAAUAACAUUUGUUUAUCCCUGAGAAGAUACUAACAGAAUGCUUAGGGGAAAAAACAAACAAACAAAGAAAGAAGUAGUUUUCAAAGAAUAUGCUGAGAAAAAAAAAGUUUUCAAAGAAUAUGCUGAGGAAAAAAAAAGUUUUCAAAGAAUAUGCUGAGAAAAAGUUUUCAAAGAAUAUGCUGAGAAAAAAAACUUUUCAAAGAAUAUGCUGAGAAAAAAGGGUUUCAAAGAAUGCGCUGAGCAAAAAAGUUUUUGAAGAAUAUGCUGGGGAAAAAAAAGGUUUCAAACAAUAUGCUGAGAAAUGAUGCAAUGAAAUAAAAAUGAUUACUGAAA